rnacentral:rRNA from 1 species
GCUACACACGUGCUACAAUGGCGCAUACAGAGGGCAGCAAGCUAGCGAUAGUGAGCGAAUCCCAAAAAGUGCGUCGUAGUCCGGAUUGGAGUCUGCAACUCGACUCCAUGAAGUCGGAAUCGCUAGUAAUCGUGAAUCAGAAUGUCACGGUGAAUACGUUCCCGGGCCUUGUACACACCGCCCGUCACACCAUGGGAGUGGGCUGCAAAAGAAGUGGGUAGUUUAACCUUUCGGGGAGGACGCUCACCACUUUGUGGUUCAUGACUGGGGUGAAGUCGUAACAAGGUAGCCCUAGGGGAACCUGGGGCUGGAUCACCUCCUUA